UGCACUCAUGUUUUCUGAUACAUGGAUCUG
rnacentral:piRNA from 1 species